CAUGAGUGUGCAUGGGCACAUGCAAAUCCCCUCUCUUGGACACACAGACACAUGCACAUACAUGUGUGCAAACA
rnacentral:miRNA from 1 species